GCCUGACCUGUGAUACAUCAAAGCUCUGUCCCUUUCUGAAGCCUAUAUUGAAUCCUUGCAAGGUAUAUAGGCCCUGCCUUCCUCUUCUUCCAACCUUGGGGCAAUUCUGAAGGGUGAGUUAGCUUCAGACAACCUCACAGUGUUGGCUGAGGCUUUGGUUACAACUUCAUUAAAACUCAGAUUCCCUCUUGGUCACGCUUCCUCCCCUCUUUCCAAUUAAAAUAACCUCUGUGAUAGACUUCUUACACCUAACUCUCCAACUUGAGUCUGCUCCUUAGAAAAUGCAACCUGUGACAGUCUGAAAGUGCCAUGGAAAACGAUCUGAGGGAGCUCGUGUUUAGCCCACUUUCCACAGACAGCACUACCUCCCACAGAGGCACGGUAGGCCAGGUCUUGCUGACUCAUGGGUCCCACACUGAAGCACAGGAGAAUGGAAUGCACAAAAACGCCUCCGAGGAGGUCAGGCUCUCAUUGGUGAAACCAUGCAAUGACUGAAUGAUCAGAAAACCAAACCAAAAGUUCAUUCAUUUUCAUGAAGCUUUUCUCAGACACUCGGUGGAGGAUCUGGCAUGAAAGUAGAUCAUACAUUCAAGAAACAGGAACUGUGAUGCCAAGGCCGGAUGGGGUCCCUACCUGGAGUCCACCAG
rnacentral:lncRNA from 1 species